AUUGAACGCUGGCGGCAGGCCUAACACAUGCAAGUCGAACGAGUGGCGGACGGGUGAGUAAUGUCUGGGAAACUGCCUGAUGGAGGGGGAUAACUACUGGAAACGGUAGCUAAUAACGCAUACCAUCAGAUGUGCCCAGAUUGGAUUAGCUUGUUGGGGGGGUAACGGCUCACCAAGGAGACGAUCCCUAGCUGUUCUGAGAGGAUGACCAGCCACCCUGGAACUGAUCCACGGUCCAGACUCCUACGGGAGGCAGGAGUGGGGAAUAUUGCACAAUGGGAGCAAGCCUGAUGCAGCCAUGCCGCGUGUAUUAAGAAGGCCUUCGGGUUGUAAAGUACUUGCAGCGGGGAGGCGUUACCCGCAGAAGAAGCACCGGCUAACUCCGUGCCAGCAGCGGCGGUAAUAC
rnacentral:rRNA from 1 species